GCACAUCGCCCUGUCAACUGGAGUAGUCUUACAACUUAUAACACGUUGUAAACAUCUUCUAUAAAUUAAUGAACGCAAAUAAGUUCGAACAUAUUACAUACAGUAUAAUACAAUACUAUGCUCAUUUUAACAGUUUUGUAUUUCGUCCAAAUAUUUUUUCAUUUUUGCUUAUAACACAUUUAUCCUUGAUUUAAAAUGAUUCCAUAAAUUCUAUGCAGUUGGUGUACCCUUGAGUGGUCUCUUGGGGCACAACAUCGAGUUUGUAUUUAGCGCGCAACGAAAGAUGGAGGAGGGUGGGGGCUACCGGUGCGACCUCAACAGGAAAUACCUGUAACUCGAUUGGUCGAGUGGACAUUUAUACUAUAACUUGCUGUUAAACUAUACGUUUGAAAAGAUCUUGGAGAUAUAAUUGUGGCGGCUAUAAGACAAAAUUGGAAAUGCAUCGGGGAACAAAGAAAGCAAGGCCGCCGCGAAAAGUCGAGGUGGGGGCCAAGAUGCCACAAUAACAAUACGAAAAAUAACCAUAUACGGCAACGAAAAUCGUUGAUCAUUGCGCGCACCACACCGCUUUCCACCCACGUGUCGACGCCUGACCAUCGUAAGUGACGAUCAGAAAACCGUACCGACGUGUCCGAGUCCGAUGGAAAUUAUUUGUUGGCUAACACACGCGCCUUACGUAGGCAGAUCCAUUCACGGUAUUACAUCGUGAUGCUCGCCCACGCGGCACUCUGCCACACGGAAUUAACGCACACGCAUUCUCUUUUCUCUAAGAAACAUUUCCUCCACUACCGCGAACUCUCUUUGAUCGGGCACGAAAUUAUAUUUAACAUUUCAUUUUAAUUAUUUAUCCGAAGAAACUUGCUUCCUGCUAUUGGGGAACAAUUCAUGUUUUUACUCGAUCUCAUUUCAUAAUAGCAGAUCUCUGUCAAAAGUGCUUCGGGGAACUAUAAAUAUUUUUAAUGAAAAAUGUUUGUGACUCGAAGAGUUUUUCGGGCUCCUUAAGAAUUUCAUUAGACAAGAUGACGAGUCUGUUACGACGAAGAAAGAAAUUCGUCCAAGAGGAUUCGUCAUUGUCGUCGUGAAGCGAAGGGACAUUUUUCAUCGGAGACGAAAUCCAUAGGGCGGGAGGGGGGGUACAAAAAGCACACGUUCGGCCCGUUCGCAAGGCAGUUUAACGUGUUUUAUGUACGGGAGGACUCUUAACUUCUGGUUAAAUGGUAGCAUAAAUGCCGCUGGUAUGUAACAGGUGAGAAGGGCCCCAAAGAGGCUGGUUUCCGACGUUGCCUCUCAUAAAAAUAAAGAACUCGAAUUCCAAAGCAGUGGUUGUCAACCCCCCGCCGCACCCCGCGCCCUCUCGAACGAUGCCUCGGCACACCUAACCUUACGGACGAGCCAAUGCCACCCGGGUUACGCACACACGCUCGACUUGAUUGUAACAGCUGAACGAAAGAGAAUUAGAGUUGUUCCCUUUGCAACCGCUGUUUAACUAGAGUUUCUCGAAUUCCUGAAUCAUUUUAGGACAUGCAGAUGAACCUACCGUUCGUCGAGCCAGGAUCGAGAGUCUGGUUUCCGCUUUCAUGACCUAGCCGUGUCGUUGCCAACCAAAAUGCGGAAAGAUCUGGAUGAUCGAGAGAACAAUAACAGUGUACUAAAUCUCGAACGAUCUCUACUGUUACGAUACCACACGAAACAAUCCACAUUUCUAACUACUUUUCGUACUGCUAAGAUUCCGAAAUAGAUCUUCUUAAUUAUAUCCUUCGUUAAUACGAUGGUCUCAUACAAUGGGGAUUUAAAUUAAACUACAAUCUACAAAAUGAAAUCAACAACGAUAUAUGAAAGCUUUUUUUAUGUUCGUACAUGUUUGAGAAAAAUAUUCGAACGUAUAUUUAGUUUUUCAAAUAAAUCAGACCGCAAAUGUUUGUUUACGAUAAACGUAUCAAGAUAAUUUGA